rnacentral:rRNA from 1 species
AUUGAACGCUGGCGGCAGGCCUAACACAUGCAAGUCGAACGGUAGCACAGAGAGCUUGCUCUCGGGUGACGAGUGGCGGACGGGUGAGUAAGAUGUGUGAAACUGCCCGAUGGAGGGGGCUAACUACUGGAAACGGUAGGUAAUACCGCAUAACGUCGCAAGACCAAAGCGGGGGACCGUCGGGCCUCACACCAUCGGAUGUGCCCAGAUGGGAUUGGCUAGGAGGCGGUGGAAUGGCCCACCUAGGCGACGAUCCCUAGCUGGUCUGAGAGGAUGACCCGCCACACUGGAACUGAGACACAGUCCAGACUCCUACGGGAGGCAGCAGUGGGGAAUAUUGCACAAUGGGCGCAAGCCUGAUGCAGCCAUGCCGCGUGUAUGAAGAAGGCCUUCGGGUUGUAAAGUACUUUCAGCGGGGAGGAAGGCGGUGCGGUUAAUAACCGCGCCGAUUGACGUUACCCGCAGAAGAAGCACCGGCUAACUCCGUGCCAGCCGCCGCCGUAA